rnacentral:lncRNA from 1 species
UGAAACAAUCUGGAACACAGUCUAGAAUGGUGGGAACCUAGAAUUCCUAGAAGGGAGAAAUAGGAGCUACAUCAAUGUAACUGUGAUCUCCUGGGUCUUGGUGCUCCCUCUACCAGUAUCAAACACCCACGCCUUCUUUGUUUUUCAACAAUUUCAACAGAUUCCUAAAGCUGGCAGGGGUGAUGGACUACUUCUCUUCAAAAAACCUUCCUUGACCGACUAAGUAGAGGCGAAGACCCUUUGAAACACUAAGAGGAACAUUUUCUGAAGGGAGUUGCUCAGUCUGGCUUUGCUGACUUAUGAAUAGGAUCCUGGGAUCAGACCUUUUUUUGUGGGUCAAUUAAUAAGUAUUAAUUGAAACUCAGGAAGGUGGGUCUCCAACUGAAGCCUGGGUUACAUCCUGCCCGAAUUUUGAGAGCCAUCACCAACCCUCUUCAUGGAAACUGGAUUCCAUAUCUAGGGAAAACCCAGCAACUACUGCCAAUACCCACUCCUGGCUGGAAGUUGACUCUCCUGUGUAAGAGAACAUGGAUACCACUUCUGUUUAUUGUAGUAUGUAAUUCUUUCUGAACCAUUUAACAUGAAUAAAACCAUGCCACUAUUUAAAUGAGGUUCCUAU